rnacentral:rRNA from 1 species
ACCGUGCAAAGGUAGCAUAAUCAUUAGUUUUUUAAUUGAAAGCUGGAAUGAAUGGUUGGACGAGAAAAUAACUGUCUCAGUACAAUUUAAAUUAGAAUUUUAUUUUUAAGUAAGAAAGCUUAAAUUAGUUUAAAAGACGAGAAGACCCUAUAGAGUUUUAUAUUUAUUAUUAUAUAAGUAAUUAAGUAUUUCCAAGGUUUCUAUAAUAGUAAGUAUUUUGUUGGGGUGACAGAAAAAUUGAAUUAACUUUUUUUAUUUAUUAACAUUGAUUUAUGAGUGUUUGAUCCAUUAAUAAUGAUUAAAAGAUUAAAUUACCUUAGGGAUAACAGCGUAAUUUUUUUUGAGAGUUCUUAUCGAAAAAAAAGUUU